GCCUGUCCUCUCAGGGCCCAGACACUGCCGACAACAACAAAAUAGUCACCUGGGAUAUCGUCAUCGAACAGCCCAAGCCCAGGCCUCAUUCCAAUGCAAAUUCAAUGCACCCGGACUCCUACAUGCCCUGCCACAUCGAUGGACAUGGGCUAUUUAAACAUUGCUGUCUCGACUCGUGAAGCGCCCGGCCCUCUACCUUACGAGAAAAAACAAAACCUCUACUAAAUCAGCUGUGAUAGCAGUGGUGUGGUUCACACUGGGCUACCUCUCCCCUUUUUACAAUGGCUCCCUCUCUACAAUGGCUACCUCUCCCCUUUUUACAAUGGCUACCUCUCUACAAUGGCUACCUCUCCCCUUUUUACAAUGGCUACCUCUCUACAAUGGCUCCCUCUCUACAAUGGCUCCCUCUCUACAAUGGCUCCCUCUCAACAAUGGCUCCCUCUCUACAAUGGCUCCCUCUCUACAAUGGCUCCCUCUCUACAAUGGCUCCCUCUCAACAAUGGCUCCCUCUCUACAAUGGCUCCCUCUCUACAAUGGCUCCCUCUCUACAAUGGCUCCCUCUCUACAAUGGCUACCUCUCCACAAUGGUACCAGGAGAUUAUUCAAGGGCCUAUGGUAGUGUCAGUGUGUCCCAGGAGGAGGUGACUAACGUCAGGACAUGUGGUUGGCAGGAUGCAGGGGCACACUGUGCUCCACGGUGCUCCACGCUGCUCCUGUCCAGCUGUGCCGGGGACCACAUCCCCCCCGAAGAGGAACUAAUUGUGAGGGUUAUCGAUUGCCACCACAUAUCUCGGCCUGUCCCUGGGUAAAUACGAUUGACGAACUUGUCACAUUGUCAUCAGGCCACAUUUUUUGACAAUGUGUCUCAAGGAGUGUUAACAUGGUCCAAGUUCACAGUGGGACAUCACAGAGAAUGGUGGCUGUGACUUUAUAGCACAGCAAAGGAAUACCUAUCAAUAAGAGUAGAACUACAGAAUCUGUAGUUGUGUUUCCUGUGUCACACCCUGAUCUGUUUCACCUGUCUUUAUGAUUGUCUCUAUCCCCCUCCAGGUGUCACCCAUCUUCCCCAUUAUCCCUUGUGUAUUUAUACCUCUGUUCUCUGUUUGUCUGUUGACAGUUCGUUUUGAUUCGGCAAGCCUUUCAGCGUUUUUCCCUCUGUUCCUGUCUCUUGAUUGUUUCUGUUUUCUAGUUUUCCCGGUUUUUACCUUUUCUGCCUACCCUGAGCCUGCCUGCCAUCCUAUACUUUUGCCCCACCUAUCUGGAUUACUGACCUCUGCCUACCCUGACCCUGAGCCUGCCUACCAUCCUGUACCUUGCCCCACCUAUCUGGAUUACUGACCUCUGCCUACCCUGACCCUGAGCCUGCCUACCAUCCUGUACCUUGCCCCACCUAUCUGGAUUACUGACCCCUGCCUGCCUUGUCCUGUCUAUUGCCUGCCCC
rnacentral:lncRNA from 1 species